GAUGAACGCUGGCGGCAUGCCUAAUACAUGCAAGUCGAGCGAACAGACGAGGAGCUUUCUCCUCUGACGUUAGCGGCGGACGGGUGAGUAACACGUGGAUAACCUACCUAUAAGACUGGGAUAACUUCGGGAAACCGGAGCUAAUACCGGAUAAUAUAUUGAACCGCAUGGUUCCAUAGUGAGAUACGGUUUUUCUGUCACUUAUAGAUGGAUCCGCGCCGCAUUAACUAGUUGGUCAGGUAACGGCUUACCCAGGCAACGAUGCGUAACCGACCUGAGAGGGUGAUCGGCCACACUGGAACUGAGACACGGCCCAGACUCCUACGGGAGGCAGCAGCAGGGAAUCUUCCGCAAUGGGCGAAAGCCUGACGGAGCAACGCGGCGUGAGGGAUGACGGUCUUCGGAUCGUAAAACUCUGUUAUUAGGGAAGAACAAAUGUGUAAGUAACUAUGAACGUCUUGACGGUACCUAAACAGAAAGCCACGGCUAACUACGUG
rnacentral:rRNA from 1 species